CAGCCGCCGCGGUAAUACCGGCGGCCCGAGUGGCGGUCACUAUUAUUGGGCUUAAAGCGUCCGUAGCCGGGUUGGGAAGUCCUCCGGGAAAUCUGGCCGCUUAACGGUCAGAAUGCCGGAGGAUACUCCCAGCCUAGGGAGCGGGAGAGGCCGAGGGGAUUCCCGGAGGAGGGGGGAAAUCCUAUAAUCCCAGGAGGACCACCUGUGGCGAAGGCGCUCGGCUGGAACGCGUCCGACGGUGAGGGACGAAGGCCAGGGGAGCAAACCGGAUUAGAUACCCGGGUAGUCCUGGCUGUAAACGAUGCGGACUUUGUGUCGGACAAGCUAUGAGCUUGUCCGGUGCCGGAGGGAAACCGUUAAGUCCGCCGCCUGGGGAGUACGGCCGCAAGGCUGAAACUUAAAGGAAUUGGCGGG
rnacentral:rRNA from 1 species